ACUACUAUUUAAGGGGCUUCCCCUGUUUGGAUUCCACAUUUUUCAUGCCUAAGAUACCCUCAUCAUACCCACUUACAAGUUUUCAACUACCGGGGAUCGAUAUGUAAAUUAAAACUCCUACACUUUAAAACUACAAACUCACGUACACUUUGCAGUUUCUAUCUCACUUUCUCUCUCUCAUUCUUCUUUAGAUUGAAGACAUUUAGUUUUCAGAUUUGAGACUCCAACAGCUUUUCAGGUUCCAUCUUUUGGAUUCAAAAGGUGUUUGGCAGUUGCUUAUUACCCAUGUUUCAAACAAGAGGGUUUGUGCUUGAAUUGGCGGCUUGAGAAAGGAUAUUGGAUUAAUUAUGCCAUGUACGAAGAGCUUGACGCCCCCAACACAUGGAGCACACAAGAGAGGUGUAUAGAAGAUUUGCAUAGAUAAGGUCUUCUGGUAAUGGAUCAAUGUCUUGCACUCGGCUAAGGAUUAAAGCUACCAAAUACAACACACGUGGAGUGGAUGCUAAGUCAAGUGAUCAAUUCUAUCCACAUAAGGAAUGGAAUGGUCUAUUUCUUCCCAAAUUUGAAGCCACUGUCUAAAGAACCCGCAACAUACAUAAUGGGUUAGGCUAUACGGAAACCCCUUUCUUUGGAUUUGUUAUCUAUAGAUUCUAUAUUCUAAUUACAAGGAACAUAAAUUGUAUUCAGGCUUUUUUAUUUUUUGCUUGAAUAGUAAA